rnacentral:rRNA from 1 species
UACGAAGGGGGCUAGCGUUGUUCGGAAUUACUGGGCGUAAAGCGCACGUAGGCGGAUACUUAAGUCAGGGGUGAAAUCCCGGGGCUCAACCCCGGAACUGCCUUUGAUACUGGGUAUCUCGAGUCCGGAAGAGGUGAGUGGAAUUCCGAGUGUAGAGGUGAAAUUCGUAGAUAUUCGCAAGAACACCGGUGGCGAAGGCGGUCUGCUGGGCAGCUGCUGACACUGAGGCGCGACAGCGUGGGGAGCAAACAGGG